rnacentral:rRNA from 1 species
GCCAGGCCCCUCCUGGCCUUUUUCAAUGUAUCAAUGACCUCGAAUCAGAUGAGAAUACCCGCUGAACUUAAGCAUAUCAAUAAGCGGAGGAAAAGAAACUAACAAGGAUUCCCUCAGUAACGGCGAGUGAAGAGGGAAGAGCUCAGUUUUGAAAUCUGGCAGUGAUUCACUGUCCGAGUUGUAAAUUGAAGAGAAUGUCAUCCACGCUGGACCACGUCUAAAUUGUAAUGAUCCACAGUCCUUUGAUGGAGUAUCAGAGAGGGUAAUAAUCCCGUCUUUAACGUGGACUGCCAGUGUUUCUGUGAUGCACUCUCUCAGAGUCGAGUAGUUUGGGAAUGCUGCUCUAAUGGGAGGUAAACUCCUUCUAAAGCUAAAUAUUGGCGAGAGACCGAUAGCGAACAAGUCACCGUGAGGGAAAGAUGAAAAGAAC